CCUAAAUGAUUUUAAUAGUUAUUUUUCUUCUUUAAAGGUUAAGAUUUUCUUCUCAUGUCAAAAGUUCCUCCUUCGCUCAUCUACUUGAAACAAAAUCCACUCCAGUCAUUGCCUUUUGGAUUUGGGGUAAGGUUCACUUCAUUUUUCCUAGAAGGAACCCAUCACCCUGCCAACCCCAGCAUGUCCUCAAGGGCUGCUUCACCAUCCAGGAUGGCUACAGGAGCACCAGCCAUCAGGUUAUGAUUCCAAGCAGGAAACAGCAAGAAUGAAGAAAGGGGAAAAUGGUGGUUCUCCCAACAUCGACAACUCUUAAAACCCCACCCCAUGAUGUCUGCUUAUAUCUCACAGACCACUCUUGACUGAAGGAAACUUGAAAAUACAGUCUCAGGGUGACAUUCCUAAGAAAGAGAGGGAGGAUUAGUAGCAACUCUCAGUCUCUGCUGCAAACACACAUUAUGUUUUAACAAGGACGCUAAUGAGCUGGAUUACAUUUGUCCAACUCGCCAACUC
rnacentral:lncRNA from 1 species